CGCCCUUAGAGUUUGAUCCUGGCUCAGAGUGAACGCUGGCGGCGUGCUUAACACAUGCAAGUUGAACGGUAACAGGAAGUAGCUUCCUACUGUGGGGUGCUGACGAGUAGCGAACGGGCGAGUAAUGCACGUGAGCUAACCUGCCCCAUUGACUUUGGGAAUAACUUCACUGGAAACUGGGGACUAAUACCGGAUAGGAGCUCCUGCUGCAUCGAGGGGGUUGGAAAUGCUUUCGGCGCUAUGGGGAUGGGACUAUGUCGGCUUAUCAGCUUGUUGGUGAGGUAACGGCUCACCAAGGCUAUGACGGGUAUCCGGUCUGAGAGGAUGAUCAGACACAUUGGAACUGAGACACGGUCCAGACUCCUACGGGAGGCAGCAGUGGGGAAUAUUGCACAAUGGGCGGAAGCCUGAUGCAGCAACGCCCGCGUGCCGAGGAUGACGGCCUUCGGAUUGUAAACCCGCUUUCGCCUUGUGACGAAACCGAUGAGUGACCGGUAACCUCUGGGUAAAAGAAGCACCCGGCUAACUACGUGCCAACAGGCCGCGGUGAUACCUAAGGUGCCAGCCGUUGUCCC
rnacentral:rRNA from 1 species